GGCACGUUGGUUAGGCUCGCUUGUCUAGUGUUCAUACCUAUGGACAACACUGGUCUCAGCCGGAAUCACACGCUCUUCUCCACUUCUACGUGCUUUAUUAAAAAUGUCCUGAAUUUGCAGCGAACGUGCUGAAUCCUUGUCACAACGUCAGUCGAGAUCUUCGUCCUGAGUGGCCGAAGCCAGACUCUCUCACAUUAAAGAGGAAGAGGAGGACAAAGAGGUUUGUCACAUUAAAGAGGAAGAAGACUUGAAGUCCCGCCACAUCAAAGAGGAGGAGGAAUAGUUCCUCCACGUUAAGCAUGAAGAAAUCAUUCAGGUUCCUGUGACUGGUGUGUCUUUGAAGAGUGAAGAUGAAGGUCAAAGUGAGGAGAACAGAGGGGCGCAGCCUCCAAGCAGCUGCUCAAGUCGACACAUGACAACGGAAGGUGAUGGAGAUCGCUGUGAAGAAUUACAAGCAGACGGCCUCUUAGCUCCACUAUCAGAUAGUGACGACAUGACGUCACACUCUCCUCGCACGGAUGAUGAUGAUGAUGAGGAUGAUAAACAGUCUGAAGGUGGUGAGACAUCUCCCACUGACAACAAACGAUGGAAAUGUUCUCAGUGUGGGAAAACCUUUGCCUAUAAGGGAAAGUUGAAACAACACAUGAGAACACACACUGGAGAGAAACCUUUUGCCUGCACAGUUUGUGGCCAGAUAUUCUCUCAGAAGGUCAUCUUAAGUCGUCACACAAGAACACACACUGGAGAGAAACAUUUCGCCUGCUCAGUUUGCGGUCACAGAUUCACCAAGAAGGGCGACUUGACAAGUCACACAAGAACCCACAAUGGUGAGAAACCUUUUGCCUGCUCAGUUUGCGGUCAAACAUUCUCAGCAGAGGCAAACUUAAAAGUACACACAAGAACCCACACUGGUGAUAAACCUUUUGCCUGCUCAGAUUGUGGUCAAAGGUUCUCUAUUAAGGGAACCUUAAAAAAACACACAAGAACCCACACUGGUGAGAAACCUUUUUCCUGCUCAGUUUGUGGCCAAAGAUUCUCUCAGAAGGGAACCUUAAAAAGUCACACAAGAACACACACGGGUGAGAAACCAUUUGCCUGUGCAGAAUGUGGUCAAAGAUUCUCCGAAAAAGGAAGCUUAAAAACACACACAAGAACACACACUGGAGAAAAAGCUUUUCCCUACGGAAGCGUAUUGCAUUCACUUGGAUAAAAAAAAAAAAAAACUCCUGUUUUUCUGAGUAAUUUAAAUAGUCAGAAAAAAAAUUAGUCCGAAAAACAGAAAAAAAUAGUCAGAAAAAAUUACUCAGAAAAACAGGAGUUGUUUUUCUGUAGUACGGAAGCGUAUUGCAUUCACAUGGAUAAAAAAAAAAAAACAACUCCUGUUUUUCUGAGUAAUUUUUUGGAGGGCUUUGUUUUUCUGACUAUUUUUUUCCUGUUUUUGGGACUAAUUUUUUUUCCGCCUGUUUUUCUGACUAUUUUUUUCUGUUUUUCGGACUAAUUUUUUUUCCGCCUGUUUUUCUGACUAUUUUUUUCUGUUUUUCGGACUAAUUUUUUUUACACCUGUUUUUCUGACUAUUUUGUUUCUGUUUUUCGGACAAAUUUUUUUUACACCUGUUUUUCUGACUAUUUUUUUUCUGUUUUUCGGACAAAUUUUUUUUACACCUGUUUUUCUGACUAUUUUUUUUCUGAGUUAUCGGGACACACAAACUCACGCGAGAACCUGCGAACUGCAAGUGACUCUUUGCGGACUCACUAAUGGCGGAUUACUGCUCGCACACCUUCAACCUGCCCAUACUCGUUUACAUUACCGCUUCAAUUAAGCAUUGCAAUGGCUACAUCCUCAACCCCUGGCCUCCCACAAGAUGAUGAUGGUCUGUGGGAAUUUCUACGCAACAGAGGUGUUCAUGAGGAGAGUAUUCAGAAAAUUAAACAAGAUCAUAUUGACAGCUCGAUAAUUGGAGAAAUAGAUGAUGCUGCUAUGGCCUCUUACAUUCCAGCCUAUGGUGAUAGGAUUGCUACAAGGCGUUUCUCAGUGGAAAAACAGAGAAGAGGUGGAGAUGAUACAAAAAGACUUUCCUUAUUCCAAAAACUUAGUAAGAAAAUGGGCACAAUGGGUAACAAAGCCUGUGAUCAUGGUUUUGAGGGAGAGAGAGAGAGAAUACAGUGAAACCAACAAAUGUGUACCUACAAAAUAAUAAGCGAGCCUGGAAGACAACCAGAAAAAUAGAAUUAGGGUGGAUACAUAACAACAAACAAGUCAGAAAACACAGCGGUGGAGGAACCAGAGUUCUGGAUAUUAACAAGAAUGCCACUAAAACUGAGAUCCUGUCUCAAGCAAAACAACUGUUUUUCCCAAAUGAGAAGUCAACAAUGGGAAAGUGGGAAGAGUUCAGUCAUGACAUCGUUAACUUUCAGGAAGCACAAGUUGAUGAGGACGUAAGUGUGCGGGAGUGUUAUGACACACACAAAUGAGCUUUGUUAAGAUUUGAUUUGUUCACAAAGACCCUUGCCGGUGGAGAUGACCAAGAGGAAGGAGCUGACAUACCGACAGAUGAGCAACAUGAAAACUCAACAGAAUGUGGACAAAAGAAACAAACAAUGGAAAAGGUGGAACAGCUGACGAGGAAAAGACAUAGCAGUGAAAUAAGUCAAAUACACACAACGGAAGAUGAUGAGCUGAGCACUGCAGCUGUUCAGAUUAUUGAUCUUACGUCUUUGUGUAAUACAUCAGAGGUCAGUUUUGGUCCUUUGACAGGGGGUCCAUUUUUAGGUGAUCUUGAUGAUACACUCUUACAUGAUCCAAACCUUGCAAUAGAAGACGAACAACUAAACAUCCCCACUUACACCUCAACUCCUAAUGAUGCUGAGACAGCUUUUGGUAGACCACCAAGUCCUUCCUUUGAACUUUUACAUGUGACUGUGAAACUUCACCGAGUAACUCUCUUAGAUGAACUUAUUACCCAAUUCAAGGAUGAAGCAGUGAUGACAAACUCUGUGAAAUACAGCUUUAUCGAUGAAAUGGGGGCAGAUGCAACGGUGUGUCUAGGGAUGUAUACGCUGCCUUCUGGACAGAAUUCCUAGACUGUGCAGCAGAAGGUGCAGAUGUGAGGGUGCCAUCGCUCUCCCCGAAAUGGCAAGAGGAAGAAUGGAAAUCUGUUGGCAGGAUAUUGGCCAAGGGACUGAACGACCAUGGGUAUUUUCCAUGUCGUCUGGCACAAGCCUUUACGGCAGCCAUCAUAUUUGGUGAACACUCCGUUUCAUCUGAUUUACUGUUUGACUCCCUGAUGUUGUAUCUUAGUCAAUCUGAGCGUCAUCUUUUGUCCACUGCUUUGCAAGAAGCCGUUAUCGGCGAUGAUGAGGAAGAGUUUCUUGAUCUUAUGGAUCGCAUGGGAGUAAGAGCAGUACCGACACAAGAUAACUUGAGAGCUGUGCUUAUCCAGGUUGCCCACAAGCAAAUCAUCCAGCAUCCAAAAUAUGCAUUGGAUAAUCUUGCAGAGGUUGCAGGACCAACACUCAGGAAGUUUUUCCCUAAUGUAGAGGAUAUGAAGAAGCUGUUUGAGGACAUUAAACCGACAACAGGAAAGGUGAUUAAAAUGAUAACAGCUUUUCCAGCUACUUCAGCAGAGAACCAAAGUUUGCGAUUUUUACAUCAGUACAUAAGGGGAUUGGAUGAAAUAAGUCUCCGGAAGCUGAUGAGAUUUCUGACCGGGUCGGAUGUUAUCUGUGUAAAAGAAAUUCAAAUCACUUUCACCUCUUUGGAAGGGCUAGCACGGCGGCCAAUUGCCCAUACUUGUGGCCCAACAGUGGAGCUGCCAUCAACUUACAGUAGCUAUCCUGAGCUUGGAGCUGAAAUGGAGGCAAUAUUGUCCAGCAACACUCAUGCAAUGGACAUAGCAUAAGAGUAAGUGACUGAUGUUCACAUACACAUUUUUCUGUUCCCCAUUCAGCCACCUAUGAUUGUUUAGACUGUGAAUGUGGGCUAUAGCAUAUAAGGAGAAUAUUUUGUUAGCUUAGGGUCUGUGUAAGUAAUGCAAGAAACAAUAACUCACACAAGCACAGAUUGAUUGAAAAUGUUCUUUCUACCCUUUCAACAAUUCACUUUUGUUAUCAGUCUAGGAUGGAUGGGAAUGUUUUCACGUUAGAAACACCAUUGUAUUUUUGCUGUUAUAAUAGAAUUGGAAUCUCUACCUCAUGUCAAAUGUUAAUACGACAGUGUUUGUGAGUCUGGUACAAGGUGGUUUGGGAUUUUAUGUUUGUUUUGCAAACAGAUUAUGUGUUACCUGUUUAGUCAUGUAGUUCAAGAGUCCUGCUCUGUGAGACAUGAUAUGUUUCAACCUGCAAUCUUUAAAUUGGACAUGUUUCUUUUGCAUGCUUGCAUUGUUAAAUGUUACGGGUAUUAAAUAUGUGCAAACUCAAGUAAAGAACUUGCUAUAUUAAAAUAUAUUCAUAAGUAUGCUUCA